UCAUAUUUGCAGUUGAGGUACGAGCUCAUGUCUGCCACUUGCUACUAUGCCUCCCCAUCAAGAUGGACUCUACCUUUUGGAACUGUAACAAAUCUUGGUCAGAUGAACGCACAUACAGGAGGAAGCAAGACACCGAUAAGAGGAACAAGCUGCAAAGGAGGGACAGGCUGAGCAGGUAAGCACCUCCCCAGAGGGCAGCAAGACACACCACCUGGCUCCGCAGCUGCCCUGGACUCCGAGAUUUGCAGAGAAGCAUGCCCCCCAGCACUGCAGUGGCAGCUAAGCAGAGCCAUGCUGACUCAGAGGAAAACAGGCUCAUUCUCCGCUGGCCUUCACUUGCUCUGGACCAGUGAGUAGUGAAAUCAAAGACGCUUGGAAGUCGGAUUCUAAGAAGAAAGCAUCUCCGAUUUGGCCUGCUUCUGGAGGAUUACUGCCAACUGAGACAGUGAGGAAGAAAAAGAGAGAGGUGUUCCAACAGCAAAGAGCCUGCCACACAAGCAUGAGGACCUGAGUCCAGAUCUCCAGAACUGACCUAAAACCUUCAACACGAUGACAUGUGUUUGUAAUUUCUGCACCGGGUGGGCAGAGAUAGGUACAUCCCUGUAUCUCACUGGUCCAUCAGCCCAGCCAAAUUAAUAAGCUCUAGCUUCAGUGAGAAACAUUUCCAUGCAAAAUAAUGUAGAGAAUGAUUGAAGAAGACCUGGACAUUGAUCUCUGACCUCCAUAUACAUGUACACAUAGAUGCUUAUGCACCCUUAUAUGUGCAUGCAUACACAAACACACACAGACACGCACACAAGACACAUAUACACACAUACACUAUACCCACCACUACCCACAAAAAUCUAAGUAAAAUUACAGAUGUGAUAGGUAUUUUUAUAUCAUUUUUAACUUUUUGCCCUAAACUGUGAUACAUAUAAAAACUUGUCCAAAAUAUAAGUGGAUAAUUAAGCAUCCAUGUGCUCACUCUCCCUCCCUCCUCUCUCUCUCCAAAACUAUUUUUGUGAAAUCCAAUUUGAGUGUCUAAAUAAAUGGCCCAGUAGUUAAGAGCAUUUGCUGCUCUUGUAGAUCCAAGUUCAAUCCCCAACACCGACACUGGGCAGUUCACAACCACCUGUAACUCCAGCUCCAA